rnacentral:rRNA from 1 species
GACGAACGCUGGCGGCGUGCUUAACACAUGCAAGUCGAACGGAAAGGCCCUGCUUGCAGGGUACUCGCGUGGCGAACGGGUGAGUAACACGUGGGUGAUCUGCCCUGCACUUCGGGAUAAACCUUCGGAACUGGGUCUCAUACCGGAGAUGGGCCCUCUUUCGUCUGAUGGUUGGAUAGUUUUUUCCGUUUAGGGAGAGAUCGCUGCCUGUCUGCUUGUUGGUGGGGUAAUGGCCUACCAACGCGGCGUCGGGCAGCCGGCCCGGGGGGGUGGACGGCCAAAUUGGGGCUGGGGUACGGCCCAGGCUCCUACGGGGGGCAGGAGUGGGGAAUUAUGCACAAUGGGCGGGAGCCUGAUGCAGCGACGCCGCGUGGGGGAUGACGGCCUUCGGGUUGUAAACUCCUUUCGCCAGGGACGAAGCUUUUUGUGACGGUACCUAGAUAAGAAGCACCGGCUAACUACGUG